GCGGGCGUAAUUCAGUGGUAGAAUGAAAGCUUCCCAAGCUUUAUACGAGGGUUCGAUUCCCUUCGCCCGCUCCA
rnacentral:tRNA from 1 species